CCUACGGGAGGCAGCAGUGAGGAAUAUUGGUCAAUGGACGAGAGUCUGAACCAGCCAAGUAGCGUGAAGGAUGACUGCCCUAUGGGUUGUAAACUUCUUUUAUAAAGGAAUAAAACGAGGCACGUGUGCCUUUUUGCAUGUACUUUAUGAAUAAGGAUCGGCUAACUCCGUGCCAGCCGCCGCGGUAAUAUGGAGGAUCCGAGCGUUAUCCGGAUUUAUUGGGUUUAAAGGGAACGUAGAUGGGUUGUUAAGUCAGUUGUGAAAGUUUGCGGCUCAACCGUAAAAUUGCAAUUGAUACUGGCAGUCUUGAGUACAGUUGAGGUAGGCGGAAUUCGUGGUGUAGCGGUGAAAUGCUUAGAUAUCACGAAGAACCCCGAUUGCGAAGGCAGCUUACUAAACUGUGACUGACAUUGAUGCUCGAAAGUGUGGGUAUCAAACAGGAUUAGAUACCCUAGUAGUC
rnacentral:rRNA from 1 species